rnacentral:rRNA from 1 species
AUUGAACGCUGGCGGCAGGCCUAACACAUGCAAGUCGAACGGCAGCACAGGAGAGCUUGCUCUCUGGGUGGCGAGUGGCGGACGGGUGAGGAAUACAUCGGAAUCUACCUUGUCGUGGGGGAUAACGUAGGGAAACUUACGCUAAUACCGCAUACGACCUACGGGUGAAAGCAGGGGACCUUCGGGCCUUGCGCGAUUGGAUGAGCCGAUGUCGGAUUAGCUAGUUGGCGGGGUAAAGGCCCACCAAGGCGACGAUCCGUAGCUGGUCUGAGAGGAUGAGCAGCCACACUGGAACUGAGACACGGUCCAGACUCCUACGGGAGGCAGCAGUGGGGAAUAUUGGACAAUGGGCGCAAGCCUGAUCCAGCCAUGCCGCGUGGGUGAAGAAGGCCUUCGGGUUGUAAAGCCCUUUGUUGGGAAAGAGAAGCAGCCGGCCAAUACCCGGUUGUUCUGACGGUACCCAAAGAAUAAGCACCGGCUAACUUCGUGCCAGCCGCCGCGGUAA